rnacentral:rRNA from 1 species
UACAGAGGGUGCGAGCGUUAAUCGGAAUUACUGGGCGUAAAGCGCACGUAGGCGGCAUUGCAAGUCCCAUGUGAAAUCCCACGGCUUAACCGUGGAAGUGCAUGGGAAACUGCAGUGCUUGAGUACUUAAGAGGAUCGCGGAAUUCCCGGUGUAGAGGUGAAAUUCGUAGAUAUCGGGAGGAACACCAGUGGCGAAGGCGGCGAUCUGGGAAGAUACUGACGCUGAGGUGCGAAAGCGUGGGGAGCAAACAGG